GAGACGUCAUUUAGGUACCCUUCCUACAUCCAUGACGUUAUACUUGAGCAGACGUUUAAUCUCUCGUAGCAGGAGGCUGUGGGGGUCGAAGGUGCAAGUGACAUGUCCAAGAGGAAGGAGGGAGUGAAGGGCUCCUAUGUGUCCAUCCACUCCUCUGGAUUCAGAGACUUCCUGCUAAAACCUGAACUGUAACUGUUGUUGUCAUACUUAUGUACUCUUCGUGAUAAGCAGCAAUGGGGUUUGUUGGCUGUUUAUCUGCCGUGAAGGUGUAAUUGAUUAUUGUGUUUAUAUGUGUCAUUUUUGGUUUAUUCAAUCAAACUGUAAAGUGUCGAGCUGUAUAUAUGCUUGGUUAUAGCACAAGUUGUAUGAGACAGGCAUACAGCAUUAUUUUUGUUAAUUUAUUUUUUCUUUCUUUAACCAGUUCUCACGGGUUGACCAGUAAUAAAGGCCUGUAUUUUAAUCAAGACCUCUUGCCUCAUGCCUGUCACUGGAGGUGCUACAUGUGUUGUUGCUAAUUUGACAGUGCAGCUAAUAGCUAAUUUGUAUUUAUGAAAUAGGAAGAAACCACUAGCGUCUUUAGACACGUUUCUCUUCUGGCUUUAUUUUGAAAGUGUAACCGGACGUUGCUUAUUUAUUUUCCUAAUUCAGUCCACCCGGACGUGGGUAAAUGUGUUGUUGCUAACUUGACAGUGCCACGGUCUCAUAUCAAUCAAACAUCCCUGCGCGUCAAAAAGUGACGCCUGAAGUGUACCUACAGCGUCACUGCAGUUUUUGACAUGUUGGGAAUGAGAACGUGUUGCCAUUACAACAUGAAGGCAGACCCAAAAAUUACUGAUUUUCCCAGAAAUAGAAAUUUUGCUCUAUUGAUUUUAUUUUGCCCCAACUCAUCAGUAGCAAAUAGCAUAUUUGUAUUAUGUCAUUUUCAUUUGACACAACCUUUGGUAGACCUUGAAUGAAGAGGGUUGGACAUCGAGAGAGCCUACACUACAACCCACUUUUCAUUUAUACCUUGUUUUUAAAAUCAGUGUGACCCCUCUUCCUGAGUGCCUGGGUUAUCGCAGAUCAUACCCCACCUUAUUAAGAAGUGAGAGGGUGAUAGAAAAAUCAGGUCUCACAUGAGAUUUGUUGAGAUUGAUAAAAAUGUGCAAUAUCAACAGACUGGCCCUUAAACAAAAAAGACAAAAAACACAAAGCUGACCAAGGAGUCUGUUAUCAGGAGACAAUAAGCUGAAUGUAAAUGCAAUGUAUCACAUUGCUUUACCCAGACUGAAUAAUGAGGACAGCUGCACUGGUAGCAGCAAGUACAAAUAAGGUGUAUGUUGUUGCAGGUUGCCUGGGCAGGCAGGUUUGGCACAAAGUGACUGGCUAUCACGUUUGUGUCUGACGAAAGCAAUGACGUCCAGGACCGCUUCAAGGUGAACAUCAGUGAGCUGUCUGACGAAAUCGACAUCUCCUCUUACAUUGAACCAGCACAAUAGAUGAGCUGGAUGCUCCCCUGGGGCUUACAGACACUUUGUAUUUCGUCACACUGUUAAAAUAAUCGCCCAAGUCAUUUUUUGUCAAAAUUGUUUUUUUUUUUUGCCUAAAUCAUCUCCUCAUGACGCCGGCCACCUAUGGUAAAAUUGCCUACAUCCUUAGUUGAUCAGAUCAUGUGAUUUUUACCCCUUUAAGAUAAUGGCCUAUGUCAAGUGUGCUACACUUUUGGUGAAGUUUUUUGUGUUUCCUGAAAAACUUGAAAAAAUUAGUUAGGCGAUUAUUUUAACAGGGUGACGAUUUGCAGUUUCACUCUGAUGGUAGAUGCAGACUAUCUUUAUAUAAACCUCAGCAUGUCAGACAGCAGAAAUUUUCCUAACCCUGUGACAUUUGCUUUUUGAAAGAAUAAAUGCAAUACAGUGGUGGUGCAGCUCCCUCUGCAGGUAGAAAUCAGGACGGACUUUGUUUAAUAAUCUGUUUUAUUUUAGUUUCUAAUCUCAGUGUUUGUUUGUGGAUAUUUCAUUUUGAUAUUGAGUUGUUUUGUGAAGGACUGCUAGUUUUUUAAAUGUGAUAAGUUGACCUGCAGUUCUAGGACUGAUAGCAGAGACAUGACUGAAUGCUGUUAACUGCUGUGUGAGUUGAUAAAUCUGCUUUUUGCCUGGUAAAGUCUCUCCCAUUCUUCAUCCACCCAUGAAUUCUAUAUUUUUCUUCUGAUACCACAGCAAUGUGUUGUUUGUCUGUGGCUCUCAUCCUCAAACCCAUUGGUUUCUAUCACUGAUUUCAAGACAUAAAUAUUUUAAAAUCC